GAAAUAUGAGCCAUUGACCAGGUCUGGAACUAAGGUUGGGUUCAGCCACCCCAAGGCUGUCCAGAAGGGCAGUUUUGAAAGCAAGGGGGCCCAACUGGAACCUCAUGACCCAGUAGACAGGGCUUAUUGAAAUGAA